rnacentral:rRNA from 1 species
AGUUUGAUCCUGGCUCAGGAUGAACGUUGGCGGCGUGCCUAACACAUGCAAGUCGAACGAGCAGCCGGAUUCUUCGGAAACCGGUGGGCGAGUGGCGAACGGGUGAGUAACACGUAGGUGACCUGCCCUGAAGCGGGGGAUAACCACUAGAAAUGGUGGCUAAUACCGCAUGUGCUUAAUCAUUCAAUUGGUUAAGUAAAACUCAGGUGCUUCAGGAGGGGCCUGCGGUCGAUUAGUUAGUUGGUGAGGUAAUGGCUCACCAAGACGAUAAUCGAUAGGGGGCGUGAGAGCGUGACCCCCCACACUGGGACUGAGACACGGCCCAGACUCCCACGGGAGGCAGCAGUGAGGAAUAUUGCACAAUGGGCGAAAGCCUGAUGCAGCAACGCCGCGUGGGGGAUGAAGGCCUUCGGGUCGUAAACCCCCUUUCUGUGGGAAGAGAAAGGACGGUACCACAGGAAUAAAGUCUCGGCUAACUACGUGCCAGCAAGCCCGCGGUAAAACGUAGGGAGGGCGAACGCGUAUCCGGGAGAUUAUCUUGGGGCGCUAAAGCGCGCGCGGCAGGGCGGGCAUUGGCAAGGUCCCGACGUGAAAAGCCUCCCGGGCUUAACUGGGGAGAGGGCCGUUUGGAAACUACAAAGCCUUGGAGGUUGGGAGAGAGAAAGUGGAAUUCCCGGUGGUAGUGGUGGGGAUGCGUAGAUAUCGGGGAGGAACUUCCAGUGGGCGAAAGCCGACUUUUCUGGGCCUACACCCUGACGCUGAGCGCGAAAGCGUGGGGAAGCGAACCAGGAUUAGAUACCCUGGUAGUCCACGCUGUAAACGAUGUGAACUAG